AUGAGAUAAAGUAUAAAACUUCGUAAUCGAGCAUGACUCGAAUAAAGAUGAAAUGUGAAAUGCGUAUGUUUAAAGGUAAUUUCUUUUUGCUGCAAUCGUUAUAUAUAAUGGUCAAUGAUAGAACAGAACUACAUGUGCGUACGACAUAUAUUGCCGACAUAAUUGAAUUAACUUUUAAAUGAAAAAUAAAAAGAUUACACGUUGAUUGCGUAGGUAAAAGUUAAUAAGAACUUGUUUCGCGUGAGAUAUUCUUUUAUGAAAUACUUAACUCCAUUAGUCGACAUAAUCAACAUAAAUCAACGUAAAGAAUGAUUAUACAAUGUAGUUUUAAAUUAUUGAUUUCAAAUUUAAUUGAUAAAUAACCUAUUCAAUUAUCAAUAAUGAAUUGAGAUACGUUCUACCUAUAUUUUAUCUUUUUGAGUAUUUUAAGAAAUAUCCACAAUAUAUGUGAAAUAGGUUAAAAUAAAAUAGGUCAAAAUAAUCUUACGACACAAUUUUUCGAGGGAUAAUUUUAAUCGGGGAAUAUUCGAAACAACUGAUAUGUAAGUCAGUGUGUAUUUACUUAAGUGUAUUUACUACCUACCUACCUACCUACCUACCUAUCUAUACAUACAUACACACAUAUAUACGUCAUACAUCACACGGAAGCAAGAUUUCAAUAUGGCGACGCGCAAUUUGAUCUAACCGAAAUAUUGCGAGUAGAUCGAACAUGUAUCUCCAUCUUAUAUCGUUUGCAUCUCGUCCUUUGUUAUCGUUUAUUUUGUGAUUCUGGUGGAAUAGAAGGAAUUAGAGAAGCACAGUCGAUUGAUUAUUCAUGUAAGUGUUUAUUUGCGUGGUGUAAUUUGAAUCACCGGAGUGUAAUUAAUAUUGCGCUUCGUAAUUUUCGCAGAUAAUUCAAAUUUUUGUUCACAUAUUUAAUCGACGAACAAAAUUCGUCGAUUUCAUUUUGCACGUAAUGUUGUUAGUAACUGUUCCAGUUGUGAGAUUUUUAACUUCAUUUUAUUUACUUCGUUGUUAUUAUUGAUGUCGUUGUUUAUUAAAUUAAAGUAAAUGAGAAAAAUAUGGACACAAUUUCAAUGCUGAAACUCUACUCUAUUUAAUAUUUCUCGUUUCGUAUUACGAGCAUCGCUAUGAUGAUAGAUACCUGAGAUACCAUAGACGAUUUAGAAGAAGUUUCAAUUGGAUCACGUUUGACUUUUUCAGAAAAAUUGGAUUAAAGAUUGCAGACAAUUAUUGUACAACACUCGGCCGUACAACCUAGUGGCACAAGUGAAGUAAACGUAAAUGAUCAUAGUUCAAUGCUCGAGACUGACCGGGGUCGCCAAGACAUUUUCCUUGGCUCCGCUUGACAGCGAUUGGCAUCUAUAAUUCUCGACGGUGUCGUAAAAAAGUCGUGGAAUGCUGUUUGAUUUGAACUCGUUUAAACGCACUUCAGGAAACAAAACAUACAUACAUAUAGAAACCGAACAAGUUCGAAUGAAAGACGGAAAAUCGCUAAGCGAUUCAACGGCGUGAGCAAGUUUGCAACGAGAAAUCUUACCAAUGACAGCAUACAUUUUUAUUUAUUAUCAUUGUACGUAUACGUGGUCGUGUUGUUACCUAUUUACCGAUAAAUAAUUUCGUCAGAAUAACUAUCGAACGAGACCACUGACGUGUAAAUUACCUAUGAAUCACUUAAAAAAAAUACUUAUAAACGUGGUACAGCUCAAGUAGACCCCUGAAAACUUUGAAGAAUUAAUGAAAUUUCUUGCUUUUUAUCUGUCGCCUUUACAAGUUGACAAAUCACUAAAAUAAUACUCCUUACUUGCUAAAUCUGGCUCGAUCAAUUUGAUUUUUCACGUUUCUUUUUCGCGAUGCACGGAAAACGAGACACCUUGUUUGAAAAUUUUAUUACAAAAUGAAAUUAUCACCGAGCACUAAAUUCUUACCGGCGCACUUUUAUAAAGAGUUGUUAAAUACAAAUUUUUAUUGGAAUUUGAAGACAAAGUAAAUUUUAUAAGGGUAGAUAAUAUUUAGAUGGCGGAAAUUUAUAUUUUCAUGAAUUAUAAUGUGAAC